AGAAUUCUCACCUAUCAGAAUGGAUGCAAGCCAUGCCGCUGUUUACAGGUUGCAAAGCAGUGUAGAGUUCGAAGGUUUCAGGGAAUUUGAGGUAUAUUAUGGUGUUCAAACUCGUGGAGAAAGGCUGUAUUUUAUGUGCACUCAGAAAAGCACUUUCAAAAAAGAAAGGUCCGUGACUACAAUAAUUAAAGCAUUAGUAUGAGACAAGUUCUCUUAACAUAUUUUCCCGUAACUUGCGGUAUUGUGUUCCUUUUCAUUGUCAGUUAAAUAUUAUGUUAUUUAUAUGUUUUGGAAUAUUGUGUUUGGUGCCCGACGUUACCCGUUCGAAAUGAUAUAAUUAUAGAGUUUUUUAAAAAAAGUGGGUAGUUGGGCCCACAAAGAUGGUACUGAAGAAACGAUAAUAUAUUUCUCCAUAUAUUCUUUUGUAUGUUUAUUUAUUAAAAAUUGUAAUGUGGCAGACAUUGCUUUGGGAAUUGGCCUACCACAAAGGUAAAAACACUAUAGUGGCACAAGAUCCAAACUAUUUUUUAUAAUAAUGUGUCAAGACAUUUUGUUCGUAAUUGGUCCACCACAAAAGCAAAAACACUAUAGCGUCACAAGACCCAAACUAUUUUUGUAAUCACUAUAAUAUAAUAUUGAAGCCUAAAUUAUGUUUAGAUAGUGUGCGUAUAUAAUAUCCAAAGCAGGCCCAUGAAAAUAGUGUCAAAGUUGUAUUUAAGCAGCCUGAAAUUGGAAGGUCGAUCAUCGGCAAGGGCAAAUAUGGCAUUCUGUUUGCAAAGCACAUCAAUAAAAGCACAAGGUACAAAGAAAUGUCAUCGGAAAAAGUCUUGGGCAAA